rnacentral:rRNA from 1 species
AACGUAGGAGACAAACGUUAUCCGGAGUUACUGGGCGUAAAGGGCUCGUAGGCGGUUUGUCGCGUCGGGAGUGAAAAUCCAGGGCUUAACUCUGGACUGGCUUCCGAUACGGGCAGACUAGAGGUAUGCAGGGGAGAACGGAAUUCCUGGUGUAGCGGUGAAAUGCGCAGAUAUCAGGAGGAACACCGGUGGCGAAGGCGGUUCUCUGGGCAUUACCUGACGCUGAGGAGCGAAAGUGUGGGGAGCGAACAGG